AACGAACGCUGGCGGCAGGCUUAACACAUGCAAGUCGAGCGCGUAGCAAUACGAGCGGCAGACGGGUGAGUAACGCGUGGGAACGUACCCUUUACUACGGAAUAACUCAGGGAAACUUGUGCUAAUACCGUAUGUGCCCUUCGGGGGAAAGAUUUAUCGGUAAGGGAUCGGCCCGCGUUGGAUUAGCUAGUUGGUGGGGUAAAGGCCUACCAAGGCGACGAUCCAUAGCUGGUCUGAGAGGAUGAUCAGCCACAUUGGGACUGAGACACGGCCCAAACUCCUACGGGAGGCAGCAGUGGGGAAUAUUGGACAAUGGGCGCAAGCCUGAUCCAGCCAUGCCGCGUGAGUGAUGAAGGCCUUAGGGUUGUAAAGCUCUUUCACCGGUGAAGAUAAUGACGGUAACCGGAGAAGAAGCCCCGGCUAACUUCGUGCCAGCCGCCGCAGUAACAC
rnacentral:rRNA from 1 species